rnacentral:rRNA from 1 species
UACGGGGGGGGCAAGCGUUGUUCGGAAUUACUGGGCGUAAAGGGCUCGUAGGUGGCCAACUAAGUCAGACGUGAAAUCCCUCGGCUUAACCGGGGAACUGCGUCUGAUACUGGAUGGCUUGAGAUUGGGAGAGGGAUGCGGAAUUCCAGGUGUAGCGGUGAAAUGCGUAGAUAUCUGGAGGAACACCGGUGGCGAAGGCGGCAUCCUGGACCAACAUUGACGCUGAGGAGCGAAAGCCAGGGGAGCAAACGGG